AAUGAUAUGAAGAACUUGUUCAGAUUUGAUUUUCAACAUUGCAAUGAGUGGCGAACGGGUGAGUAACACGUGGGAAACCUACCUCUUAGCAGGGGAUAACAUUUGGAAACAAAUGCUAAUACCGUAUAAUAAUUAAAACCGCAUGGUUUUAGUUUAAAAGAUGGUCUUGCUAUCACUAAGAGAUGGUCCCGCGGUGUAUUAGUUAGUUGGUGAGGUAAUGGCUCACCAAGACAAUGAUACAUAGCCGAGUUGAGAGACUGACCGGCCACAAUGGGACUGAGACACGGCCCAUACUCCUACGGGAGGCAGCAGUAGGGAAUCUUCCACAAUGGACGAAAGUCUGAUGGAGCAACGCCGCGUGUGUGAUGAAGGGUUUCGGCUCGUAAAACACUGUUGUAAGAGAAGAAUGACAUUGAGAGUAACUGUUCAAUGUGUGACGGUAUCUUACCAGAAAGGAACGGCUAAAUACGUGCCAGCAGCCGCGGUAAUACGUAUGUUCCAAGCGUUAUCCGGAUUUAUUGGGCGUAAAGCGAGCGCAGACGGUUAUUUAAGUCUGAAGUGAAAGCCCUCGGCUCAACCGAGGAAUUGCUUUGGAAACUGGAUAACUUGAGUGCAGUAGAGGAAAGUGGAACUCCAUGUGUAGCGGUGAAAUGC
rnacentral:rRNA from 1 species